AGUGUCUCCUCUGGACUCUCCAGAAAUGCUUUCUUCAGCCUACCCUGCUUUUUCAGCUUCAGUUAAGAAACUGCACUUCAAAAGGUGAAAUGGUGCCUCCAGUUUCAACUCCAGAAUAUCCCAAUUGAUACUGGCACAAGAAGUAUCAAACUGCUGAAGAAACAGCUAAGAACUAAGUUUUAGAACCAGCUGUUGCACAGAAGCGUGGACCCCAAGAACCAUUUCCCAAGUGUUCUGAGAUGCUACUGUUACUUCUACAAUGAAGGUGUA